rnacentral:rRNA from 1 species
UACGUAGGGGGCUAGCGUUGUCCGGAUUUAUUGGGCGUAAAGAGCGUGUAGGCGGCCAGGUAGGUCCGCUGUGAAAGUCCGAGGCUCAACCUCGGAAUGUCGGCGGAAACCCUCUGGCUAGAGUCCGGAAGAGGAGAGUGGAAUUCCCGGUGUAGCGGUGAAAUGCGCAGAUAUCGGGAAGAACACCAGUGGCGAAGGCGGCUCUCUGGAACGGUACUGACGCUGAGACGCGAAAGCGUGGGGAGCGAACAGG